rnacentral:tRNA from 1 species
ACUUAAAUAGCUUAUUAAGAGCGUAACACUGAAGAUGUUAAGGAAAUUUAGUAUUUUUAAGUA